rnacentral:lncRNA from 1 species
UUUUUGGAGCAAAUGCGGAACGUAAUUUGCAUGGGAAGAGGGACGUCAAAUAACCAAUGGGCUCCAAAAAUAAAAAGAUUUGAACCUAUGACCCUCAACUCUAAAAGUAUGUGAGCUGAACAGCUAACCCUAAUACCAUUCGAGUGCAAUCUAUACCGAGGAUGUAGAGAUAGUAAGCAUGUCGAAUUAGUGAUUAAUAUGAGUCAAGAUAAUAGACAUGCUAAUAAAAUAAACAAUUAAUAUGGAGAGGAUCAGAACUCAUAAUCUCUAGCAAACUUAACACUCUUGUACCAUAUUAGCUUGCCUUUUAAGAGAACGAGGCAUUUGCCAUACAAGGAUCAUGAGAAAUGGGUAGGUAAUUUUUCCUUUAGAUUUGAGGGACCUGGCUAUGGCUAAUUUGGUUGUAAGAGAUGGAUAAAUUUUCUUGUCUCUGGCCAAAAAAAGAGCAUGUUUUAAGAUUUUUUUUAUGUUAAGGGGGGCAAUCAACAAUUUCACAUGCUAACCCAUACCGUAUACCCAACAUGAGAUAAGCAUACCUAUAUUUCGUAUAGACAGGUUCCUAUCACAAAUGGGCCAACCCAACUAGCAUAUUCAUUAAAUUGGCUAGUUCAUGUUUAGUGUCUUCAUCUAUCUAACCCAAUUCGACUUAUUAAAUAAUUAUGGUGGAUCAACAUAAUUGUGAUAUGACUUAUUUAAGAUAUAUUCAACAUAUUGACCUGUAUCGGACUUGAUGCGGGAUUUACACCCCGUCACCAGCAGAGCCCACACAUCAGCCGAGCAGCAGAAGAGAGAGUGUCCCCCAGAAGGUAUUGUCCGCUUUGGAUCCGAUUCGGGGGUCGAGCGUACCCGGAGCCCUCCUCACGGCGCCUCACGGUUUUGCCCCACAAAAGGCGCCUCCUUAGGGAAGGGUGACUGAGCCCCUCAUUAUAUGGCACAGACCUUCCCGCUACACGGCCGAUGUGGGACUAAAUUCGGGGAACCCCCCGUAACACAGCCCCCCAGCGGGGAGGUCCGAUUCGGGGGUCGAGCGUACCCGGAGCCCUCCUCACGGCGNNNNNNNNNNNNNNNNNNNNGGCCGAUGUGGGACUAAAUUCGGGGAACCCCCCGUAACACAGCCCCCCCAGCGGGGAGGUCCGAUUCGGGGGUCGAGCGUACCCGGAGCCCUCCUCACGGCGCCUCACGGUUUUGCCCCACAAAAGGCGCCUUCUUAGGGAAGGGUGAUUGAGCCCCCCAUUAUAUGGCACAGACCUUCCCGCUACACGGCCGAUGUGAGACUAAAUUCGGGGAACCCCCCGUAACAAGACUCAUGUUAAAUACCUCUUUUAUGGUUUUUAUCCAUAUAAAAUCGAGUUAAUAAGAUAUCUUGGUUAUACAUGUCGAGUCUUAUUACUUGUUUAAUAAAUCGAUCAUAUCCAUAUUUUGAUUACUAAUAUGUUUAAUAAAAAAAUAAGUUUUGGGAGCUUUUUUUUUUUUUUUUUUUGUUCUUUAACCCAAGGCAAACUCAAUCAAUCUGAUUGGCUGUCAUCAAGAAAUUAUAUUAUGCACCAUAUGCACCCAGUGCCGGCUGAGCCUUAGGCGACCGAGGCGGUCGCCUAAGGCCCUCGGCCCAGGAAAGGCCCCCACCCACGGCUCGGUUUUUUUUUUUUUGCUUUUUGGAUGUGAAAACUAGCUCUGUAGAUUAGAGGCUAUGGGCAGUGCCGCAGUGGGCGACGACUCCGCUACAGUGCAUCCCUUUCGGCCGCUUCGGCGUCUCCCUGACCCGACGACAGAGACAGGCUAGCUGCCUAGGCCCUGGGCAACGCCGCAACGGCUACCGGCUACGACAACGUCGACAAGCAACGAGCAUUUCCUCCUGGCUCCCCCCUUCUCUCCCCUCUUCUCUGCCGGGCAGUCGGUGCUUUUUUUUAUUGCGGAACCUUUUCAGUAGAUGCGGCAAGAGCUUCCGAUUUCCCAAAGGUUUUCUUCGGCCCUAGUUCCCUUCUCUAUCGGCAGCCGGGAGGCUCGACCGUCGACGGCUUGAGGCUCGACCACGAACUGCCCCUGCAUCGGACUCCGAAGUCCAGAUAUCCUCUCCAGCUCUGCUCGCCGUCCUCGGCUUCUCCGACCUCCAGCCUCUGGCCUCCGGUUCCUUGGCUCCACUCUAGCCUCUAAACUUCUAAAGGCCACCGUCCUCCUCCUCCUCCGGCUCCAAGAAGGCAAGAACCCGGCGACGGCGGUGAGUGGCGAGCCGCUGGCCGGAUCCCCUCUCUAGCUCUUAGGCCGCCCCUCUCCUGCUCUCCUCGUCGCCGUCCUCGGCUCCUCCGACCUCCGGGCUCCGGCCUCGUCGACUCCUCCGUUAGCAUCCCAAAUCCCAGGCAGUGCCGCAGUGGUGAGUUUUUAAUUGACUAAUCACUAACUACCAUUUCACAUUUGUUAUUUUAUUAUCUAAUAGUUCUGUGAGCACCGAGGGAAUAUAUGCCAUCAGUUCUGGAAGGAUUUUAUUAUUUAAUGGUUCUGAAAGGAUUUCUUUAAUAUGCUAUCAUUAUUGGCUUAUUGCAUUUAAUGUUAUACAAUAAUGGAAAAAACCAAGGGAAUAUAUAGCCAACUGAUUAAUUUUUUGGUCCCAUUGAUUUUAAUUUAGUCAAGUUAGAGACACUACAAUUGAUUUUUUUUGAUCCAAUUGUAGGUUGGUUGUGACUUCGGCGAUUCGGCCUUUUCUCGCCGUCGAGUUUGGCACUAUCCGGCCUCUUCUCCCCGUCAAGUUCGGCACUACUUAUCGGGACCUGAGUUCGUUUUUUUGACACCAAUCAAAUUUUAUCAUUUUCAACUUUUUUAUAUUUUAAUUUGUUUGUGGUGUUUUUUAAUUGCUUUGUUUGAUAAUAUUAUUUUUAGAUUAAAAUAUCUAAUAGAAAAUAUGAAUGUGGGUAUGAAAAACUUAAAAAGAAAAGAAAAAUCGAUAAACUCAUUCAAUCUCAAAAAAAGGCCUCCUCUAGUGAGUUCGCCUUAGGCCUCCAAAUGUUUUAGGCUGCCCCUGUAUGCACCAUGCCAGCGAUGCGCCACUCCAAUCCCAUCUUGACAUGCCAUGCCUUAAUCUCACUUGAAUGACCAGGAAUCUUCAGAGGGGGGGCAUCCCAGGUUUCAAACAAAGUUAAAAAAGUGAUGGAAUAUUGGAUAAAGAAUAUUGUUUUAUGUGGUAUGAAGCUACAUGUCCUUCAAUCUAUUUUGCAUACUUUGCUGCAAAUCAAGUUAAAGCCGAACUUAGGUAGAAUUAGGUUGUCUAUCCUCUCCAAAAAAUAAUAAUAAAAAAGGAAUAACGAAUCAGUUUGAGUGUAGUCUAGUAAGGUUUUGGGUCCGAGUCCAACCAAGAUAGGUCAAGCCAGAUUCGAUGUCAAUCAUGCUCCGGUCUGAUUAGGUUGGAUGAAGUGCAGAUCCCAUGCUGAAGCAAGCUUCUCAUUUCAACCUGACAUGAAAACAAUUGAAUUGGAAUGGAUGAGAACUCGAGUUCGCCGCUUUUCCAUUCAUUUACAUCGAAGAAAAAAGUCCUAGAUCACAACUUUAGGCGAAACUUUAGAGAUUAUUUUGUUCAGAUGCUUGCUAGUCUUGGACAGAUCCUAGCAAACAUGAAGCAUUAGACAUUUCAUCUAUUAGAUAUUUCACCAAGUCCUUGGCAAAUUACAUGAGCUUACAAGUUAAUGACUAUAUGUCAUCGGUGGACAAGUUUUUAUCUGGUAAUUAACUUUCGCACUUAUAGUUCUCCAAGUCCUUGAUCAUCCUCCAAAUUGGUACAAAAACUACCCAAGAUUCAUGACUAUUGCAACCAAUGUUUGUCCAUGCCUAGAUCUCAAAGCGAGGCACCUAACAAGCUACCCAAUCUAAUUAACAAGCUGCUGAGGUCUAAAACUCUUCUGCAGCCUCUGGUAAUCAAUAAGAUGCUGCCAAAUUAAUUAGGUUGAACAAAACUGUUGCAUUAGUGAACUAUGCAAUAAUAACAAUUCCAAGAAGUUUACACUGUAAUAUGGAUAUCAAUUGCUGCUUAUGUAUGAUGGUCAUUUUUGACAAGACAAUAUAACUACCAUAUAUCUGUUAUCAUCUGGCAUUUCAUUCGACAAAUUUUUUGAAAUAUGAAUAUAACUCCAGUGCCAUCACUCAAAAACCUUGUGCCGAUAGUAGUCUCCAUCCACUUUUACAGGAAUGUUGGCAAAUUUCGUAUUUAUUGCUAUCUUUUGUAGUUUCAUAUAUUUAGAGAGAAGCUAACAAUGCUACUAAUUGGAUAGCUUCUUAUGUGACGAAUCAUAUAGGAUCUAUAUGAUGGAUUUUCUCAUUAAUAUUUCACUUUCUGAUUCUCAUGGAUAUAUUUAUUCUUGAUUAGUUAAUUAAUUUAAAUCACCCAAUUUACCAAAAAAAAAAAAUGCCAUUGCUUGAAGCAAUGCACCCCACCAUCCUCACUUGCCAUGGUUCCUGUCAUUGCUUUUGGGGGCUGCAAACCAUUGACAUCACCCAAACCUCAUCGAAAUUCCAAAAUCUAGUUCAACUACAGAUGAAACUAACCUUAUGCCAUCACUCAUUCCCUCACCUUAUAUUUAUAUUCAUAUGUCCACAAAGACUUCCUCAAUACAUUUGCUAAUUCUUUAUUUAUUCAGAAGGUGCACCUAAAAUCCUCCUUUCCACACAGAAACACAUAUUCUUCUAAUCUAAUCACAUGCUACAUGGGAACCUUCAAAUGCCAGGCUUUCUUUUUGCCUCUACUUUGAUCCAUGGCACAUGCAAUUCAAACCAUCUCUUUGAACACUUGGCUUAAUAAAAUUGUUGGACUUAAGACUUUUGCAUUGCUUCUAACUUCAUUUUCAAAACUACAAUGGCUUAUUAAUUAAGGGGUGGUAGCUAUCUUAGAUGUGGGAAGUUCCUUCAUAAUACAGCAAAAUGUUAGUUUUAACUAAGCUUUAUUUAUUUGGUUCUUGAUGUCAAAACUUGUGUUGAUACCAACUUUGACAGAACAUGUGCUUGUUGUGCCAACAAUUUUCAAUAAAUUAGGUUGAUGUAAACAACUCCAAGUCUCUCAUCUUAGAUCUUUGAUGAAAAUGAAUCUAAGUUCAUUCAACCCUUGCUUGCUGGAGGGGAAAAAAAGAGAAAUUUGAUAGCUGAAAAUGAUGUGUAUGUCACAUGCAAGAUCAUGUUCAUCUAUUUAUUCUCCCCUUCUCUUGCAUGCGCCCAUUGUUAGUGACUAUGCAAAGGCUAUGGUUAGAAAUUCCACAAAAAAAAAUUGCCAUCUCUUAGAGAUGUGAGAACCCAUGCGAACGUGUAUUUAGUUUCACAUCGGUUAUUCGCUGAGAAAAUCUUAGGUACUUAUACCAUACUAAGGAACCCAAAUAAUAUCUUCCGGUUAGUCAUUUUGGAUAAAGUCCUGGAUUAUUACAAAUGGUAUCAAAGCGAACUCGGCUUAUAGUCUAUGUAGACUAGGAGAUGCUGCAGCACGAGUUAAUGGAGACUGACCAUGGGUCUAUCGUGGUGUAUAUGAUUACAUGUAAAUGAAUAUACAUCCUUAGCUUGACGAGGACGUCAGGAUUUAAAUGGGGGGAGUAUGUGAAAACCCGUGCAGGUGUGUGUUUAGUCUCACAUCGGUCAUUCGUUGAGAAAAGCUUGGGUACUUAUACCAGACUAAGGAACCCAAAUAAUACUUUCCGGCUAGCCAUUUUGGGUGAGGUCCUACGUUGUUACAAGAAAGCUCAUAGCAGUGAAAUUACAACACUAUGAAUAUUAGUUACCUAAGUGGCUGUGUCAUAGUUAUGUUUUAGAAACAUAAAUUUAUAAAAAAGGAAAAAAAUGAUGUUUUUUUCUAGUCAGCUAAUAAUAUUGUAAUUAUUAUAGGCACAAAUGUAAUAUUUAAACAAUAAUAAGAUGUGCUAUAACAUAUAUCACAGGUGUCUUGGAAUUAUUAUGAUGGAUGUUAAGAUGUUGUAAUGGUUAUUAUUUAAUAGCGGAGUAGAAAGGAAAAAGCAAUUGUAGGUCCAAAUAGCUUUGCAAUUUUAAAAUUCAUCUGUAACAUUGUUUGGUACAUGUUAGAUCUAAUUCAAUGGAAAAGUUAUUUUAACAGAUCAUUUCAACUCGAAGUAAACAACUAUUUGGCAUGGAUGAACUCAUUUUCCAAGGCUUACUCUUGCAUUUGUGUUACAUUUUAUGAUAUUUUGCAGACAAAUAAAUCAAAAUACUGGAUCGUGCUAUUCUUGAAAUUCAUUCCUUUUCUCAUGAAAUGAAUCCAUGGAGCAGCCCAAGCUUCUUCGAAAAAGAAAUGGAUUAUGCUGAACACUAAAAAAAAAAACCAAAUUAUAGGAGAAUUGGUUCCAAGAGAUAGGAUAGAAUAGAAAGAUAUUGGAUAAAUAUAUAUCACAAAUAUUUUCAAAUACUAUUGUUGAAUUAAGAAACUUGAUGCUCUUAGAUCCACAAACAUAGAUAAGCAGGAUGGAACGAUAAAAUUGCUUGUCCAUGCCAAGUUGAACAUCCAAAGACAAAUUUUCCGAUAUUUUUCUACCAUUAUAGUUUAACUCAAAUUUACUCCCUAUCAAAUUUCGAUAUCUUGCAUAUUUUGAAUUUUACAAUUUCCUUUAAUAAUUUAGUCUGCCACUGUAAAAAAAAUGCAAGACAACUUGGAAUCCUAAAAAUAGAUGCAAUAUAUAAUCAUUACGUAACAAAAUCUUUACUCUUAUUCAGAAGCAAACUAUUUACCAGGUAUAAAAAUGCUACCAAAAAAUGCAUCUGAUGGCGGUCAUCGUGGAAGAAAAACAAAUCUCAAAAUCCAUCUCUAGUUGCUUAACUAUUCCUGUUAUAUUUAUCAUAGUAUUUGGUUUGGAUAUUCUUUUCUAUCUUUGUUUUUCUGAAAUAUAGGUGUUGUAAUACUAAAAGCCAAAGAGUUUUUUUUUUUUUGAAAUUUGAGACAUUUCCAUUCGUAGGAAGUCGCUGUCCGGUGUGCCGGGUGGCCCAUCAAAUCAACGCAACAUGGACAUCCCAACGCAAAACGAUUUAAAAAAAUGGCACUCUCGUAAUUCCCAUCAAAGUCGGCUCUCUUUUCCCAACUCCUCCACCGUCGCUCGCNNNNNNNNNNNNNNNNNNNNNNNNNNNNNNNNNNNNNNNNNNNNNNNNNNNNNNNNNNNNNNNNNNNNNNNNNNNNNNNNNNNNNNNNNNNNNNNNNNNNNNNNNNNNNNNNNNNNNNNNNNNNNNNNNNNNNNNNNNNNNNNNNNNNNNNNNNNNNNNNNNNNNNNNNNNNNNNNNNNNNNNNNNNNNNNNNNNNNNNNNNNNNNNNNNNNNNNNNNNNNNNNNNNNNNNNNNNNNNNNNNNNNNNNNNNNNNNNNNNNNNNNNNNNNNNNNNNNNNNNNNNNNNNNNNNNNNNNNNNNNNNNNNNNNNNNNNNNNNNNNNNNNNNNNNNNNNNNNNNNNNNNNNNNNNNNNNNNNNNNNNNNNNNNNNNNNNNNNNNNNNNNNNNNNNNNNNNNNNNNNNNNNNNNNNNNNNNNNNNNNNNNNNNNNNNNNNNNNNNNNNNNNNNNNNNNNNNNNNNNNNNNNNNNNNNNNNNNNNNNNNNNNNNNNNNNNNNNNNNNNNNNNNNNNNNNNNNNNNNNNNNNNNNNNNNNNNNNNNNNNNNNNNNNNNNNNNNNNNNNNNNNNNNNNNNNNNNNNNNNNNNNNNNNNNNNNNNNNNNNNNNNNNNNNNNNNNNNNNNNNNNNNNNNNNNNNNNNNNNNNNNNNNNNNNNNNNNNNNNNNNNNNNNNNNNNNNNNNNNNNNNNNNNNNNNNNNNNNNNNNNNNNNNNNNNNNNNNNNNNNNNNNNNNNNNNNNNNNNNNNNNNNNNNNNNNNNNNNNNNNNNNNNNNNNNNNNNNNNNNNNNNNNNNNNNNNNNNNNNNNNNNNNNNNNNNNNNNNNNNNNNNNNNNNNNNNNNNNNNNNNNNNNNNNNNNNNNNNNNNNNNNNNNNNNNNNNNNNNNNNNNNNNNNNNNNNNNNNNNNNNNNNNNNNNNNNNNNNNNNNNNNNNNNNNNNNNNNNNNNNNNNNNNNNNNNNNNNNNNNNNNNNNNNNNNNNNNNNNNNNNNNNNNNNNNNNNNNNNNNNNNNNNNNNNNNNNNNNNNNNNNNNNNNNNNNNNNNNNNNNNNNNNNNNNNNNNNNNNNNNNNNNNNNNNNNNNNNNNNNNNNNNNNNNNNNNNNNNNNNNNNNNNNNNNNNNNNNNNNNNNNNNNNNNNNNNNNNNNNNNNNNNNNNNNNNNNNNNNNNNNNNNNNNNNNNNNNNNNNNNNNNNNNNNNNNNNNNNNNNNNNNNNNNNNNNNNNNNNNNNNNNNNNNNNNNNNNNNNNNNNNNNNNNNNNNNNNNNNNNNNNNNNNNNNNNNNNNNNNNNNNNNNNNNNNNNNNNNNNNNNNNNNNNNNNNNNNNNNNNNNNNNNNNNNNNNNNNNNNNNNNNNNNNNNNNNNNNNNNNNNNNNNNNNNNNNNNNNNNNNNNNNNNNNNNNNNNNNNNNNNNNNNNNNNNNNNNNNNNNNNNNNNNNNNNNNNNNNNNNNNNNNNNNNNNNNNNNNNNNNNNNNNNNNNNNNNNNNNNNNNNNNNNNNNNNNNNNNNNNNNNNNNNNNNNNNNNNNNNNNNNNNNNNNNNNNNNNNNNNNNNNNNNNNNNNNNNNNNNNNNNNNNNNNNNNNNNNNNNNNNNNNNNNNNNNNNNNNNNNNNNNNNNNNNNNNNNNNNNNNNNNNNNNNNNNNNNNNNNNNNNNNNNNNNNNNNNNNNNNNNNNNNNNNNNNNNNNNNNNNNNNNNNNNNNNNNNNNNNNNNNNNNNNNNNNNNNNNNNNNNNNNNNNNNNNNNNNNNNNNNNNNNNNNNNNNNNNNNNNNNNNNNNNNNNNNNNNNNNNNNNNNNNNNNNNNNNNNNUUUUUUAGGGGUGUCCUUAGCAAAUGGGGGGGUGUAGAGAGUAUUUAAUUUUUUUUUAAUUUUUGGGGGGUGUCCUGGGCAAUAGGGGGGGUGUAUCUCCUCACUCCCAUUCGUUUCCGCAACCAGCGGCCCCACGUCACGAGAUUAAUUUGCACACCGCCGAAAGCUUUGCACGAACGCAGUAAUGCUCUUUGUUCCCCACUCACAACGGAUUCUUUUGUCUAAUAUUCAUUGUUCAUUCAUUAUUUUCACUACCAAAGGUAUCCAAUACAUGAAAACUGGAUUUCCUAGCAGAGCGCCAAUAGAUGGGCGACUACCGCCCUGUAUAGAGAGAUUAACGGGAAGCAGGUUGAAGACUGGAUUUCCUAGCAGAGCGCCGACGGAUGGGCGAUUACCAUCCGAACUAUAAUUCAUGGUAAAAUGGCCUUGCAGGCUAAGCAUGUGUAUAGAUAGAUCAACGGAGCUGUAGAUUGGAUGGUCUCAUAUCUGACCAUCAUUUCAAGAAAACUCUUUAAGUGAGAGAGAGAAAAAGCUAUCCGAUACACUUCAGGAUUUAUUAUUUUUGAUUUUUUUUAACUAUAUUUAUAUCCAUAAUGUGUGAUACAUUGUUAAAAAAGAAAAAUAAAAGNNNNNNNNNNNNNNNNNNNNGAAAAAGACAGGAGUUCUUGGUGCACCUAAUCCCAUCUUCUCGGUAGCUACGGUACUGCUUAAAGUUGGAUUUUUUAUUUGGCGAGUUCUUUAGAAAUUUAAAGUACUUUGGCAUGUAGCCAGGAAUUGUACUAUAAUUAUAAUGAAAAAUUUAUCUAAUGAGACUAUUAUUUAAAAUAUAUGUAUAUAUUUAAAAUAAAAUAUUUAACUUUCAAUUUUAUGUCAUAUUAAAAAAUAAUUUUCUAUUGGAUAAGCAGUGAUAUGGACAAGAAAAAAACUACUAUUUUUUAGUUGAUAGUCUGCAACAGCAACACAUUAUUUCUCAAUUGUAGCAAUUGUUGGAAUGAAUCUGAUAACCUUCUUGGUAAUUACAAUACUGUUCUUUUUAAACUUAAAAUAAAAAAUAUAUAUUCUUAAAAUAAAAUAUUUAAGUUUAAAUUUCAUGUCAUAUUAGAAAAUAAUUUCUUAUUGGAUAAGCAGUGAUACAAGCAAGGAUAAAACUACUAUAUUUUAGUUAACAGCCUGCAACAGCAACACAUUAUUCCUCAAUAGUAGCAAAUGUUGCAAUGGAUCUAGUGUUUGGAUAACCUUCUUAAUAAUUACAAUACCGAUUUUUUAAAGUUAAAUUAUAUAUUAUUUUCUAAUAAAAUAAUAUAUUUUAAAUGUUAAAUUUUUUAUUAUUUAUAAAUAAAAUAAGGUUUCCAAAUUCAAAUCCUUAAAGUGGUAAAAUAUAAAUUUUAUUUUAUAAACAGUGAUCUGAGCAAGGAAAAAGGCUGUUAUUUUUCAGUUAACAACCAGUAAUAGCGGUUACAGCAGUUAACACGUUAUUCCCAGUACCGCUGUGACGGGAACAACCGGUCUCGCCUCGCCUCGCCUCGCCCCUCAAUCGGACUUUUUUUAAAAAAAAAUUAAACGGAUGAAACCACGCUUGGAUCCGCGCAAAACAAAAAGACGGAAUAAAUAAAUAAGAAAUAAAGCACAGUACUACUCCACGCUCAUUUGCAGUUUAAUUCUCCCUUUCUCCCCCUCUCUUUCUCCCCUCCUCCUAACCCCAAAAAAAAUAACGCAAGAAAACGAAACCUUAACUCUAACCGUAGCUUUCUCGCUUCUUCUUCUUCUUCUUCUUCUCGUCCUUCUCCUCCUCUUGCUCCUGUCCUUGGAUCUCCUUGUGCGGCAAUGGGAGCUUUUGAUGAGGAGAGUGGCGAUGGGGACUGAGGAGAUCUGCGGCAAUGGGGAAAGCCGAAGGCGAGCAGUCCUUGUCCACCGCCCCUUCGUCGUCGGAGGACACCGAGGGGAAUGCCUGCGGGAGCUGCCACCAGUGCCGAUCGAUCGGUAGGAUCGUGCGGCCGCGGUGCGUUGUGGCGCUGGUUCUUGGUUUUGCCAUACUGCUGUCGGCCGUGUUCUGGCUUCCCCCAUUCUUGAGGCAUAGUGGGGAUCUGAUGGGUCGGAAUCGGGACCCGCGGUUUAAAGGUGAGGAUCUGGUAGUGUUUGGAGUGGCUGGGUUCUUUGGGUGGAUUUUGGGAGGUUUCAGCAAUAGCAUUGGGGUGCAUUGCUGUAUCGCGGCAUGGUUCUGUUUUUCUAGGGCAGUUUGAAAUUGUUCGUGUUGCCAUUGGUUUGAUGCACUCUUGUUCCGGUUACUUGGUUUGUGUUGAUAUGGACUUGCAUUAGCUGAUUUAUAGGUUGAAAAAUGUGAUAUCUUCAUAAAUUUGUUGUUUUAUUUCUUAAUUUUCGUUAAGUUUUUGUGGGCAUUUGUAUUCUUAUUCUUGGAUUAGUUAGAAAUGAGAGUGAAUUUUCUGAUUUGAUGAAAACACAGUUUUGGAUGCUGGGUUGAUUAGAUAGAUGCAGAUUGUUAUGUUGAUGGAAAAUAUUAUGCAUAGUUUCCUUUUAGGAUCGUUGAUGAGAAACCCUCAAUUUGUUUCGUGAAGUGAGUCAGUUUGGAUGGUUACUGAAUUUUAAGGUGUUGGAAUAGAUCUAGAGUUUGAGCUCAUCUAAGUUACUGCUGGAUUGUAGAUCAGACUGAUGAUUAAGGACUCUUGAUGUUUCUGUACCCAAGUUUGUAUUUGAUCUGGAUUUCUACUGGAGAUUAUAGAGUGACCUUAUUCGGUUAUGUGCUAUUAGGAAUUUUAAUAUGUAUCUGUUGGAAGCUAUUCUGGUUGCUUUCUGUAUUUUUUAGGUUAUGGAAGAUGGAUUGUGGUGUUAUUUAAUAUACUUCAUCUGGAAGUGCCGUUGCAGAUUGCCUCGGAUUUUAACCAUUGUUUUCAAGAUCUGGCAUAGUUUUGACAAUUGUGGGGGAUUUUGUUCCUUAUGAUGGUGGCCUUCUGUAUGAGAGCCCAAUGAUGUUCUUCGUGUAAACUCAAGAGUGAAGGUCCUGAAGGCUUAUCUGAGCUUUGACAAUGCCUUAGUUUUGGUUGUAGGGAAGCUCUACCUCAGAAAUGUUUUGAUCGCUGUCAAGUAUGCCAACUUGUAAAGAAACAAGCAAGGAAAUGUAAGGCUAUGCAAGUAUUUUCAUUAUGAAGCAUCUAUUGCCACCAGCAAAAACUUGGUUUAGGACAUCCAUAAGAGUAAUGGCAUGGUGGUUAAGGGCACGUAGAUUGCACAAUUAAUUUCUACUAGGUGAUACGUGAAUUACAUACUUAAUUCACAUUUAUGAGCUCACCUUUUUGAGGAAAUUUAAGUUUCAGGGGUAUAAAGAACAACACGUAAGUGUCUCUCCCCCCAUUUUGGUGGACUUUGCAUUAACCAAUCACAAGUGGCAUUUUUCUAGGAUACUGUGUAAUUGAGUGUCUUCCUGCAUAAGAGAAAGAUCACUACAUAGAAGAGGACAUGCUUUUGCUCAGGAACAAUUUUGUCAAAAAACAAUUUAAUCAAUUGACUGAUGAACAAUGCUCGUUUCAAAUUGUUAGCGGAAGAUAAUUCAGACUUUGAAUCUUUUGGUUAUUUGUUUAAGAGAAUGAAAUGGAAUGCAGUUCUUUAUGCAUGUUGAAUUUAAAAAUGGAGUACUACAUGCAAUCAAAUGUCAAAGUAAAUGGAGUAAGUAGGUAGUAACAUUGGCAAACAAAUCCAAAUUGAAGAUGAAAAAUGGAGUAAUUAGGUAUUAUCAUUUUUGUUAUAUUUUAGGGACUACUAUAAUCAGAGAUAGGCUCUGAAGGAUCAGUAGUGGUGAGGAUGAAGGUGCAAAAGAAUUGAACGAGCCCAUCCUUUGGUACUUCAUUAACAGAGAAUGCUCAAAAAGGCUUUUGGGGCAGUAUUCACUAGCUAAAAUGGUAGCACUUGUUCAUGUUUCAAGCUCCCAAAUGAAAUCUGUUUAGUUUGAUGAACUGGCAAAAGCCCAGCUUCAUAGCUUCGGGUCUUGUGUAUCUAGUGGAAGAAGCUUGGAAUUAUUUUAGUCAGUAAUUAGAACCACCACACAAACCCUGUUAACUUUCCCAUAUACAAAUGACUAAAUGAUGCUUCAAUGGAUCAGACAAAGGCAUGAGCUAUAAGCUCAGGCAGUGGCAAAUCAAUUUAGUGAUGGGGAUGGGUGGAUCUGAUAUUGUAGGUCGACAAAGCUUGUUGGAAGGUUUCAUGAGGGUGACCCAUCCUCUGAUAUCAUAAAACUUUGAAGGGGAGAUGUUCAAAUGAAUUUAGUUUUAUAGGGCGUCAUGCUACUUGUGAUACCACGGACUUGUAGUGUUUUAGGAAUUUGGAGUAGAGGGUGCAGAUGUAGGAAAUCUAUGCAACAUCUAUUUAACUAAUAGAAAAGAAUGGAGACAGCUGAUAUAGGUAAGAUCUUUUUUUUUUUUUUUUUAAGGUUUUGAUCACUUUGAUGCUUAUAAACUGUUAUAAGCCACUAACAGCCUUUAUCAAUAUCAUUUGCUUGCUAAAUAUAAAUAUGGAAGGCCCUACGAAAUAUAUGACACUACAGUGCGAGUACAGACAUAACUCUUACUAAUUUUAUGCAUGUUUUCUUAGUGCCAGAGCGGAAUUUUGUCUAGCAGUUAUGGUUUAAUUUGGUUGACGAUAUUACAGAGGAACUGUUAAUGGUUAAUCAAAGAUCAUUUAACUUUUUACUGGUGCAUCCUUUUGCUAAGCUGAGUGGAUGCUGACAAUAGCAGGCAACACCAGAUGGAGAUGCAUGAUGACAAACUGCUUCGUGUUGUCACCAAUAAGGGCGGGCUUGUUUAAGUAUUCCACUUUGGUUGAAGUUGAAUUUGUUAAGAGCUAGGAUCUACUUAUGCCAUGACUUGUCUGAAUUAUACCUUUAAUUACAUUGAAGUUCUUUUCUUUUCCAGAAGUCUGGAUAUUAAAGAUAUCAGAAAUUAAGAAUCAUACUACAAUAUUCUAUGAUUUUUCCUGUCAUUUUUUUAUUAAUAUUGCUAUACUUCAAGUAUCUGAACUUUUCUCACCUAGAGAGUUAAUUUUGGCAGCUGAUAUCGUAGCAAGUUUCAGACUGCAAAAGCCCGUAGCUAUGUUAAGUGCCAAUAUCUCAAAACUUCAAUAUGAUAUCUAUGAAGAAAUUGGUGUUCCUAAUUCCUUGGUAAGCUUUGUACUCUUAUCUAAUUUUUUAAUGUCCAUCCAAAAUGUGCGCGUCCUUACCCAAUGAUUUCAAUUCAGGUGGUUGUAAGUUCUCUAGAACCUUUAGCCGGAUCAAAUUGGACAACUGUAGUGUUUGGCAUUUGGCCUUAUCCAAAAAAUUUACCUAUAUCGUCAGCUGAAAUAAGUCUUCUCAGAGAGUCUUUUACGUCCUUGGUUACGCGGCAGUCAACUCUCCACUUGACUACGUCCCUGUUUGGGAACUCGUCCUUCUUUGAGGUGCUAAAGUUCCCUGGAGGAAUUACGAUUAUCCCUCCACAAAAUGCUUUUCUUCUGCAGAAACUGCAUUCUCUUUUUAAUUUCAGUUUAAAUGUCGCGAUCGAUCAAGUACAAGACAAACUCAGUGAACUGAAGGACCAGAUGAAGUUGGGGCUGCUGCUCAAUUCUUACGAGGUUUGCCCACUUAUCAUAUUCUGCUUCAUGAUUGUUUCUUUCAUAUAAAUUCUUUCUGGCAACUUAUCUAUAGUAAUGCUUAAAUUUUCUUAAUAAUUUAAACCAGUGUCUACUGUUUUAUAUAUUGUGUUACCUGGACCUUGCAUCUGGCUCAAGAAAUCUUUGUCUAACAUCUAUUGAUUAGGCAUAUACAUGUCAGACUGCAGAAAUGCUUAUCAAAUUUCUAGAUUGUAAUUUUUUAAGAUAUUAGCAGCUCUUCCAACAAUAUGUAUAACCAAGUAGAAUAAAGUUGAAGAGUCCAAUUUUUGUCAUUUUUGAGCAUGGUUAAAGAUAGAUUCUUUUAAUACUCUGAAAAUGUCAUGCUUCUUGUAUAUUUGAGCUAAUCUUAGAGCUGAGCUGAGGAACAUGCAUUUUGAUAACUAAUUGACUAGACUUUGAAAAAGCAUAAUUCUAGCCUCUUUACUUUUUUUAAGCUUUUACAAGAUGUCCUAUCAUUCUUGACGCUGAACCUCUAGCAAAUGAGCAAUCUUAUAAAUUAUUCUAAGCUUUUUUUAAAGCUUUUACAGGAUGUCCUAUCAUUUGAAUAGCCUGUUUCACAAGAUCCAAUCACCAAUUGACAGGCAUUACUUACAACUUCCAGAGUCCACCUCAAACAAGUCACAACUAUUCAAAUGUUCAAAAUCAACAGUAGCAUCAUGAAUUGACCAAUAGCUCAUAAGUUAGCACUUUAAAAAAUAAAGCUAUUUUUCACACCUUAAUAUAGUCAAUAUUUUAUGAUCUUUGAGAGGACAUGUGUCUGAAUCUAUUUUCUGCAUCUGGGUGAAUGCACCAUUAUAUAUAUCAUUUUCUGGGAGAAUAUUUUAACAUGCAUCAUACUAAGGCCUUUCUUUGUCUAAGGGAUCUCUGUCAAAACAUAAUGGAGUCUCACUGCUAGCCUUUUUUAUUUCUGAAGAAAUUGUGAUGCUAGAAUUUUGCUAGCUCAGAAUACUUUACUCAGUGAAAAUUUUCCUGAAAUACUGAAGUCUUCCAAUUUCUGAUGACUCUGUUAAAACAUGUAUCUAGUUUCAAUUCUAACAUUUUUCAUUUCUAAAGAGUUUGUGAUGUUAGAAAUUUUCUAGCUGAGAAGACUUUAGUCUAUCCAUUUGCUCAAAAUGCAGGCCUGCUGCUCGAAGAAAAGAACAGAUCUCCAAUUCUUAAUGGAGAAACAAGCAUCCAUUUAGGGGAAUAUGCAAUCAUUUUAGAGCAUUAUUUGUAGUUGCUAAACAUUCAUUUUUAAGAGGCAUUUGCUAGAAGUUAUUGCCUAAACUUGUUAUUGUAAUUUCAUAAUAAACUUACAUCUGCUUUACAUGUGUUGCAGAAUCUGUAUGUUCGUUUGACAAAUAUAGAGGGUUCGACGGUGGCUCCUCCAACAACUCUUGAGACCUUCGUUGUGCUUAAAGUUGGGAAUAACCAACCCUCAUUAUCAAGGUUGAAACAGUUGGCUAAGAGCAUCUCUAAUUCUUCUGCAGGCAAUCUUGGUCUCAACCACACUGUAUUUGGUAAAGUAAAGCAGGUUCGACUUUCCUCGUUUUUUCAACAUUCUCUGAAUAGCGGAGGCAGCAGUUCACCAAGUCCAACUCCUCAACCUCAGCCAGAUCACCACCACCGCCACCACCACCACCACCACCACCACCAUCACAGUCACCCAGACACUCAUCUGGCUCCUGCUGCUCCUCCUCGACGCAGUUACCAAACUCCAGCUCCCUCUCGUUGCCGAUUUGGAUAUUCUAACAGGCCCAAGAGCAAAGCUUUUCUUGUUCCAGCUGCUGCACCUGCGGCUGCUCCACAGCAUUCUGAUGCAACUGUGGCCUCUCCACAGCAUUCAGCUGCACCAGAGUCUAGCCCACAAAAUUCUGCUUCACCUGAGCCUGUACCACAGCAUUCUAUUGCUCCACAUGUGCAUGAAAAUUCACCAGCUCCAGAUCCAGACAUGCGUGCAGCAUCACCAUUGCCUGCUGCCUAUUUUGCUCAUGUACAACCUCCAAGUGAGAGUGUAACAGAUGUCAACCCUCCUGACAGAAAGCCAUCAAUUUCACCUGUGCCACAUUCAUGUGAGUUUUUCUUACUAAAGUAUUUAUCUUAAACUCCGAAUUUCUGUAGCUUUUCUUGUUGUUAAAAAGAACUGUAUGUUGUUAUGAAAAUCCAAUGAAUGGACAAACAAAGAGAAUAUAAUGUCCUGAGAUUAUUGAGGUAGCAUCAUUUCUAAAACAAUGGCAUGGCCUAGUCUGAGUUUAUUGUCACUACAAUGUCUAGAGCUUAUGAAGUUGGCACCAUACCCCAAUUUAUGAGUUAGAUUGAAGGUUCUUUUGUUCUAGUUUGUCAUUUGGCUGUAGUCAUAAGUUAUUUUACUCUAGUCCUGAUUAAGUUAUAAUUUCAUUGCGUAAAUGCUCUUAAACCCUGAUAGGUUUAGUCAUUUGUUUGCUGUUUGUAUUAAGAGUUUUUAGCUGUAUAUUUAUAUAAGCAUCAAACAGUUGUAUCCAUCCCAUGCAUGAUCAUAGUCAUCUCUUGUCGCAUGUUUAUCAUUCAGCUAAAGGCUUGCAUUUUUUAUAUCAAGUCCUAUGCUGAGCUGUUACUCCUAAGCUUGUGAGCAGAAAUGUGCUGGAUUUUACUGCAAUUCUGUUUCCAUAAUGUUUGACAGUGAGACAAGUCAUGAUGCCAAUUUACUAACUUUUUCAUGAUCCUUUGUAUGAUGAUAUUGAAUACAAGGGUCUUAUGUAGUGGCAUGUUGCCCAAGUCUGUUGGUUUGUAAAUGAUGUAUGCAGGGACUUUGAAACCUGUUUCUACUCAUAGAUCAGACUGCUCCUUCCCCCAUGGAAAUAUUUCUGUCCCUGCUUUUGGCAAUACUAUCCAAUUUUCUUUAUGCUAGUUGAGUCCUGUUGCCUGAUGUCAUAGAUUUAUAAUUUUGCAAGUUCUAAAAUAGAUAAACUGCCUUAUUUGUUCCAUAUUGGGUUGAGGCAAAAAGGCAUUCAAAUGUGUGCAAGAUCAUGCCUUCCAUGCAUGUGUUUGUGCUUAAAGUUAUACAUGUAGGUGUGCAUGCAUGUGUUCGAGCAUGUGUGCUCAUGCCAUGAUGCAUAUGUGCUCAUGUGUGCAUGUAUAGAGAGAGUACACACGUGAAACAUUUUGCUCCGAAGUCUCAUACUGGCACAUUGUGCAGCAUUAAGUGGUCCAAAUUGGCUGAUUUUAUGAGAGUUGGGUGUGCCGUAAGAACUGCACGAGCAAGGAUUUCCUUAGUUUGUUUUCCCCACUUUGGAACAUAUUAUUUAUUGUGAUAACAAAAACAUGUCUAAGUAGUAUUAAAUUAGGGUGGAUGUAGGUACAAACAUAGUUGUCAUACUUGGACUGGAGAUUGACCUGUCUGAGAGGCUGGGUCACCAGGUUGCCUGUUCAACUGCUGGGUCAACCAUUCAGAUAAGCUAAAAAUUAAAUGAUUAUGAAAAAAAAACUGUAUGUUAUUGAAGGCUUCUAGUUUUGGCCAAAAUCGACCUGUUUCAUCUGAAAUAAAUAAUUUUCAGUGGGACUAAAUUGAAACCAGGCCAUAGUUUUGGGUCGGGGUGUCAAUGCCUAACCCGGUUAACCCUUGUAACUUGAUUCAACCUAUUGUAGGUUGGGUUAAGUUACCUAUUUAAUAAAAUAGUUAAGUUCAGGUCUGGAUUUUUGACCCAUUUAGUAAACAGAUCGGGUUCAGGUUGAUGGAGUUUUGACCUAUAAUGUAUUUGACUUGACCCAUUUGUGGUCCGACCCGACCCGAUUGCCACCCAAGUUUUGGGUUUUGGUCAGUGUCAAUAUUUUGGCCUAUUUCCAUCAGUUUUGGCCCAUAUUUGAUUGAUUUGUCUAGGUUUCGCAGAAACUUUAGAUGCUUUAUAAAUGUUGUUUGGUGUUCAUAAGGACUUCUCUUUUUUUAUUUGUUUGGUAGGCUAUAUAGCAUCAUUGUUCGUGCUUCUUUUGUCUUUUCAUCGAGUUAAAAGCAGGGAUAGAUGAUCGGUAUAAUCCUUGAUGAGCUGAGAUUUCCGCAAAGGUCCCUGUUGUAGUAGUUUACAAAGAUUAAUGUUGGGUGGGUCUCCUUCCAUUCUCUCAAAAAUGCAAGAUUAAUGUAAACAACUAAAUACAAGACACCAUGAUUUACAACAGUCUCUUUUUUAUGCGAACAACAUUUUAUAACUGAUGCAUUUAUCAAUUAGCCACUUGAUAAAUUGAUAUUUUAUAAUUAACAUCUUUUAACUGGUUGGGUUUUGCUGGUUCUUUCAUUUAGGCAGUCUAAAAACUAGUCAGUCAAAGGGCCAAUCCUUUGGUUCUUUGGUUGAAUUGGAGUACUUUGGUCCUGAUAUGAUAGUGAUUUUAUGAUGAGUUAAGCACUUGUAUGGAGUCCCGAACCUAGGAGAGGCUAUAUGGGUCAUUUCCAAAUACUUAAUAUGCUGGAAAUAUAAUAUGGCAGCUAUUAGACCAGUUUUCACAAAACAAUGUAGAAGGAAUGGUGACUUUAAGGUGGCAUGUUGGGGAUUUAAGAAUGAUAAAGUUUGAACAUGGUGCAUUAUAGGAAGCUUAGUAGUGGUGUAAUUGUGCUAGGCUCCUUUGCAUAUCAAGCACUUGUUUGGCUGCUCGAUCACUCUGUGUAACAUCUCAAAACUUGAGUGAUAAGUUGUUAAGGGAAGAAGGAAGAAGCGUGAUAAAUUAAUGGAGGCCAUUGUGUCUUAGUCCAAGUUUUUUUGCAUACAAAAUUCAUCUAAUAAUAUCCAGUAUUUUGAAAAUUAGGGGUGGCAGCGAGUCAGUCAGCUUAAUCUUUGAUAGCAAGGCCUACCUGGCCUGAUGCAAACUUGAUCAAAAGCACAUGCAAAAAGGAAGCAGCCAAACAUUUGACGUCACUGACAACAAAGCAAUGGUUUCAGUGGUGGGGUUGCCAAAUGAUGGUGGGAUGGGGCGUCUGUACUCAGAGAUGGUGGUCCCAUGGUCAGAGGCGGGCUUGGGAUGGCGUCUUGGUGUUCCAGGUAGCAGUCGAGCAACUGAGAAUUGUUUUGGUGUUUUGUUGAGGUCCAGAUGGCUAGCUGGCAAUAACAAUGUGGAGGCAGGUUUGCAGAUUGGGCCUGGUUGGCUGGCUGGAAACACGAGGUCGGUAUUGGAGGUUUUGUCAAGGUUGAUGAUCUGGAUGGAAUAACUGGGGCAGCAGAGGCAGUCCUUGCAAGUUUUAUAUGAUUCAUUAUCAGAUCUCCCACAAAAAUGACAGGACUGGAAUGCAAGUGGAUGGGUGAAGGUGAGGAUGAGAUGAGAGAAGCGAAGGAAGUGGAGAAAAGGGAGAGAAGAUGGGAGAGGGCAAGUAGGGGAGAAGAGGGAGAGAGUGGAGAGGGGAGGAGGAGACGAGGAAGGGGAAGUUCAAGUAGAAUUUAGGUGGUGUAAAUUUAGAGUUAAGAGUUUAGAUUUAGAAUUCAUAUUGGCUUUUAUAUCAUGUAUAAUAUGCUUUUAUAUAGGUGGAGUAAAUUUAUAGCUAGGGUGUUUAUAUAUUGACUGCAUAUUAGCUUUUAUGUCAUGUAUAAUAUGUUUUUAAAUAUUAAUAGAUUAAUUGAACAUAUUAUCUAUAUACAUUAUUUUAGGUGGUCCGGACCGACCUGAUCUUACAACUGGUAACAUUUACAGGCCUGAACCCAACCCUGUGUCUUCUGAAAUGGGUUGGGUCCAGAUUUCUACCCUUAUUACAAAUCUUGUGAUUGCAAUCCAUGAACCCUAUUGAUUCUUGGACUUCUCCAUCCUAUGUCCUUGUCUCCCUGUAUGUAAGCUGUCCAAACAAGGCUGCAAUGUGGGAGAGUUGUAUGCUGGUUUAUUUACAUGCAUGCUGGCCAGAGCAUAAGGUCUUGGAUUAGACCAAGAGGUCAAAAGUUGAAAUAAGAAAAAGCAUGGGCCUUGGAUGCUUGUUUAAAGAGUGGGUUUCUAAAUAAAAAAAAGAAUGGCUUUCUGUUAAAGAAUUAGGCAUUGCAUAAAUAAUGUUUAAAAACAGAUUUCUAAAUAUGCAAGCCUUGUUAUACUUUUUCCCAUGCCCUGACACAUGGUUUUUUGUUGGGGUGGAUGGUUUUGUAGUACUUGCAUGCUUGACUGUCUUACCAAAUCAGAUGCUUUAAGACAUUUGUUUUCUGAAGGCUUACAUCUUUCAUUUUAUCCUGCUUUGUUGGGGGUGGAUGGUUUUGUAGUACUUGCAUGCUGCUUGACUGUCUUGCCAAAUCAAAUGCUUUAAGACAUUUGUUUUCUGAAGGCUUACAUCUUUCAUUUUAUCCUGCUUUUAAAGUUCAAUAAAAGCUUAGCAAAUCGUGUCGUAGUUAUGCAGUCAUGCUGGUGCUUGAGGGUAUAGCAGGAAAAGAUGGAGUCAAUAUAACUAGAUUGGAGUAAAUAACAAUACUUACCAAGCCUCCUAUAGCUCUUUUUAACAAGCUGAUAUUUCAUUUCCGAAUAUCAUUUUUUUAACUGCUAUCUUUUCCAUCUGAAUUUCCUCAGCUUAAAGCUAUUGGCAUUUUCUGUGCAGCUUCUGCUUCAGGCCAGCCUUCUAUCCAUUGGGUCCUUGCAGUACUGUUGUUCUAUUUGUUGAUGCGUAUAUAGCAAACAAAGGAAUUAUUUUUUUUCUAGAGCUAAAUUACUCAGUUUUUGAGAAGCGGGGUACACUGCUCUGCGAUGCUGCAUAAGACAGACUGUAACUUUGCAUGCGGGUGCAACAAAAAUGUUGCACCUUCAUUCAGAUGGAAAAUUUAAGGUAUGUAUAUAUAGAUAUUAAUGCACCGCAAAUGAAUUUUCUGGUCAAAGCCACAGAGGUGGCAGGCCUUCGUUUAUGUGUUGUUUCUUUGUACUAUUACGGGGAAAAUCAAGUAAAACGAAUGUAUUUUGCCCCUAAUGAGGGCAGGUGCUUGCUCUUGAAUGGGGAAGUAAUUCUCUUCUUUUGGGAAGGUUCAUCUAUGCAUGAAUUUUGAUCGGUUAUAUUUCUUUCCAGCGUUGUUACCUUCUCUUGGGUCUUGUACUCUUAUUCCAGCAUAGAUACCUCUGUUUGGGAAUAGUGGCUUUUGGUUUUUGCUUUAUUAAGUAUUGUUAUUUAAGUAUGAAUUGGAAGGGGAAAUUUUUAGGGUCAAACUGUCGAUAAACUAGAGCCAACAUCAACCAAAAUAUCUUGUUUCUUGUCUGAGCUUGACCUGCGAAAGUUAUCAAAGGUAGACUGUUUUGCCAUAUGACAUGUUUCAUUAAUUGAAUAUUUGCAUCUAUAGUAUCUACUUUUCUUCCCCAUGCAUCUUUUACCUUUAGAUAUUGCAAAUAUCUAAAUCUAGAUCUAUUUCUACAUUUCUUUUGGUAAUUCCUCAAAGAUCCGCCUCUACAAUUAUUCUUUGCCUUUAAGGUCCACGCAAAUACACUCUCGCGCACACGUAGCAUUCAAAGAACAAUGGUAAGUAAGAUGCCAGUAGUUGCAGAUAUGUAUGCUAUGUUAAACUUUCUCCCAAAAGAAGGAAGUCCUGCAAUAUCAUUAGACAGUAUAUGUUCUUGAAAAAUUUAGGCAAUGCUUUGAGAGUGCAGGAUGAUACCAUGCAGCCUGUAUUGAACUACAGCCUUCUCGAUAUUCGGAAUUCUUUCAACAUGCUGCAAGGAAGCCUACUGAUUGGUACAAACACCAUGGUUAAAGAAAAAAAAGAAUAUACAUGCAUUCAUAGGUAUGUAUUAUAACCCAGGUAACAUGCGCCUGCACCUUGAAAACAUACAAGAUGCCACAUGGUUGAAGCAAUCAAGGUCUGCUGUUUCGGUAUCGGCUGCUAUGCCAGUCAAGAAUAUAGCAGCCAAGAAUCGAUUCAGUAUUUUGAAAUCUAACGAUCGGAGGGUCAAGAGUUCGACCCUCAGCCCAGUCCCAAUGACACCUUUGGUGGGUAAGGGUGUGGCAUUGUCUAUACUAUAGAGUUGAAUUGUAGAUGAUUGGGCUGGGUUAUGAGGUUAAUAUAAGGACUAUUGGCCUCAGUUCAACAUAGCCUUUUUUUUUUUUUUCUUCAGAUUGAUGGGAUAUUGUGCCUCUAGUAUUGAGUGAGAUACCAUAUUAUAUGCAGAUGUCUUACAUGGAGGGUACAUGGCAUCACUCAUUAACUUUUCUUGUUCAAUAUGUUCAUGUCCAUGUAUAUGUCUGCAAUCAACGCAUGCAUGGUCAAUGGCAUGUCCUCGUCGUGAGAGGGUAGCUAACAAAUUGUAAGAUAUUUUUUUAAAUUCCUAGAAGUGAAUAGAUGGGAAAAAGGGCCUUUUAAGAAGUUGGUGAAAAUUUAUGAACAUCUAACACUAAUAGAUGAGCUCAUCUUCAAACAUGCAUAUAGAAAUUAUUGUAGGGGCAUCAAAUCUAUGGUGACAUCAUCUCAUCGACGUUGAUUGGAUUCUUAUAUAUGCAUGCACGUACACACAUGCAUGCACAGAAAAAAGAGAGUGGAUGUUCAUAUAUGGAAUAAAAUUUAGGCUUUGAGUACCUCAAUUUCCUACUUCACUCAAUAAAAGAAACUUGUGGAGAUCUUAAAUGAAAGUUUACUUGUAGAGUAUGCUAAUAUGGUAAAAUAAUUAUAUCACUAAAACUUGGGUAGGCAGCAAGCAAGAAAUACAAGUUUCCACUAGUUAUGGAAAACCGUCCAAAACAAAUAUAUUAACACGCAUCUCAAGGGAGGUCAACAAGUGCUUGCUGUCUAAAGAAGCUAUUUUUGCUGGCCAAUGGAGCCAAAGGACAGCUAUCAUAGAAGCCAAAGGACAGUGCAUCAAGUGUCGCACUUGAUUUUGACCCUAUCAAAGCUAUUCACUAACUAUGACUCUUAAAAUUGAUCUUGCAUUUGAUGCAAAAUCAAAGUUCCCCCCAAACACCCAGCUCGCAACAUAAAUACCUACCAAAGUUUGAGAGAAUUUCACAGAAUGCUGCGUGGCCUACAACUUAAUUACAGAAAUUUUAACUAUGCACGUUCAUAACUACCUGAGCAACCGCAUUACUUCACUGUAGUGGUAUAAAAGAUGGAAUCUAGAGGUGGUAAUCGAGUCAUGUUGGGUCUGAUAUGGAGCAGGUUGAAUGCGGGUCGGGUCAAAAAUUCAUCAACCCAAAUCCGAUCUAUUGAUUAAACAUGCUAAAAAUUCAGAUAUAAACCCAACCUACUAAUUAAAUAGGUAAUCCGAUCCGAUCCAUAUAACUUGGUCAAAUCAAGUUAAAUGAGUUAAACAAGUUAAGUGGAUUUAAAUAGAUUUAAACGGAUUAAACAGGAAAAAAACAUGUUAAUCAAGUUUUAAAUAGAUCAAACAGGUUUUAAAUAGGUUAAAUGUGUCAAAUAGGUUACUUGAUACAAUCCAACCUGAAUAUUAAAUGGGUUAAAUAGGUUAAACGAGUCAUAUGUCUGAAAUUUGAAUCCAACCCGAAUAUUAAACAGAUUAAAUUGGCCAGCCUAUUUGCAAUCCAAAUCUGUUUAUGGCAGAUCGAAUAUAUGUUGGAUUAACAGAUCAGGUCACAUUUUGCCACCUAUAAUAGAAUCGGCUUGUAUUGUCAAUCAUUUGUUUUGGAAGUCUACAGAGAAACGAGCAUCUUAUUUACCUUCUCUUAUUCUUUUUCUGCUUGACGGUAAUGGAGCUAAGACAAAUCUCUUCGCUGUCAUCAUAAGCAGCAGUUCCCUUUCCAAGCAAAUACAAAUAAGUCAUUUUCGUUACUUUGUUCCCACUCAUAUUUUUUCCAACAUAUCACCUGCUUUUCCUCUCGUUCUUUUUUUUUCUUGUAGAUUUAUAUCCAUCAUCAUUUAGCGAAGGGGUGGGAUACAAAUUAUGAGAAUGCUUAAGCUUUGAAGGCUUUUUUAAGUCUGCGUUUAACUUGAUUCUUAUCAAAACAAACUCCAAGGAGUCUUUUUGCCUAGAAGUUUUCCUAGCAUUAUUUUUUAUUUUUAUUUUUUAGUACAAUGGCAGCUCACAUUCUCGAAUGUAAAUGCGGCCUACAAGAUCAGAAAAUAAAAAACUACACAGGAGCUCCAGCACAUAUACGUGGUCCGUCUAAAUAAAUCCUUCAGAGUGAUGAGCAGCAAAAGAGGCAAUCCAGUCAGCGGCACAGUUUGUCUUUAUGUAAACAUACAUAGUCUGGUGAAAGCCACACUUUUUCAAUAGACUGCCACGUCUUCUUCUCAGCAACACACCUCCGACUUCAGGUCUACUCGAUCACCGUGGGCGUGCAUUAUUACUGGCGACCCAGGUUCGGUGUCUUCUCCAUGAUCAGCUGUUUGAUGAUAUACGGAUGGCUGGUGAUCAUAAACUAGACCUUUCUGUUCGACCUCAACUCGCAUGUGUUAAAUACCAAUUAUUCAAAUGUAUGAUUGCUAAAUAGUAAAUAAACCUUUUCCUUCUGGAGAUAUUCACGGAGAUCAGGAGUUCAGAAGCAAUAUCCCUGCUCUCUCUCUCUCUCUCUCUCUCUCGCCAAGUCCCAACCAACCACGCUGCGUCCAACUCUGUUUCUGGGAUCGCUCUCCCACCACAGAUUUAUAGAUUUUUUUUUCCUUUUUUGUUGCCUCUGCCCACCUCAUCAGCUUGCUACAGAAAUCUUAAUGCUAUCCAAUUUAAGAGAGAAAAAUCGAGAGAGGGAGCGUUGAGAAAGCAUUCGUAUCGCUCGGAUUUGGUCCAUAAUCUUCAGAAAGAAGAAAGAAAGGUGGCUCACAGAUCUUAUGCUCAGUCCUCUCAAGCUCUUCAUGUCAGCUGGAUUUUGCUAAUUUUCGAUUUGUGUUGUUAGUAUUUGUUACUUUUUUUUGAUUUUUGGUACAUGAACAGGUUCCUUUAGCGGUCUGCUCCAUCUUUGCUUUUAAAGAAUCAUUCUAGGUUCUUUCUUGAAUAAGAAUUAGUCCGCUUGAGUUGGCUUUUGAUGAGUUCUGGUCUGGUUUGUUUGCUUCCAUGGACGUGCUAAUUUCGGCUGGUUCCUUGGAGAUUUCAACUGAUUUCAGAUGAUUUUUUACUUUUUUUAUUCUUUUUUCUUUCUGCUAUGAGUUCCAUUUACUUCUUUGUAGAUUCUUAUUGGGUCGAGCUGAUUUUUACGAAGGAAGUUGGUUAUUCAAUCACAUUGCAUCCCAUUGUUGCAAGAUUUUGGACUGCUGUGCUUGUAUUAUUUAGUGGUGGAAUUGUUUGUGGAGAAUCUGAGCUAUUUUCCACGUAAUGAGUCAGUUUUUUCGGAAUGGUAUGACAUACUGUAAUAAAAAUUAUAUCUCGUGUUUGGAUAAUUCUCGUCAUACAAGCAUUUCUUAUUCGAUGUCAAUUUUUAUUUUCCGUCAGCUGCAAGAAGAUCACACCUUUCCUCUUAAUUUAUGGACCAUUUCUAUUAUGUUGUGCCUUAACAAAAUUCUUGUUGAUGUAUUAAUUAGGAUGUUUGUGGUUUGCUAUGUUUUAGUAGUUUGACUCAAUUGAAGAAGAUAUGGUGAAUUUGGGGUCAUAUUCUGGAAAGAAGUCCUUGAGUACAGUGACUUUACUCUUCAAACUACCAUAUUAUACCCAGUGGGGGCAGAGCCUGCUCAUUUCUGGCUCUGAAGCAGUGCUAGGAUCUUGGAAUGUGAAGAAGGGUCUGGUUUUAAGUCCAUUUCAUCAAGGCAAUGAACUUAUCUGGUGUGGAAGAAUUGCUGUCCCCAUUGCUUUUACAUGUGAAUACAGUUACUAUUUGGUGGAUGACGACCGGAAUGUUUUGAGAUGGGAGGGAGGGAAGAAGCGAAACUUAAUCCUGCCUGAAGGAAUUCUGGAAGGAGAGGUAGUGGAAAUUCAUGAUCUGUGGCAGGUAUAGAGAUUUUCUGCAUUUCUUAAACUUUCUUCUCUUGUGCUUGGAUCAAAAUUUUUGUUCUGUUAAGCUUGUUCUUAUCUGGAUUUUUCGUAGCUUAUUUGACUUUAUUGACUAAAUUUGUUCUUUAUUUUUAUAACUCCGUUGUGUUUAUACUUUUGUUUGUUUAAGUGCAGACCUACCUUUUAUUCUGCUGCUUUUGUAUUUGCUAUAAUCAACUUUAAUUUCUCAAAUCUGGAAAUUAUAUACUUCAACCUACAACUUCAUGGUCAAAUCAAAGAGUCCUUUUUUGUGAAUUACAAAGGACUAAUUAUGUCGUAAACAAGGUUAAUUCAGUAAGUUGAGAGUGGAUAUUCUGAUGAUUUAACUUCUGCAAAAUGGAAUGGUUAUGUAAGUAAAAGCUAAGACACCGUAGAAGUACAAGGCUGAAAAAUGAUGGCCAUGAAAGUUUGUGUAAUCCUUUGUCACCAUGCAUGAUGCUGUACUUAUCAUAUUUACAGCAAAUAUGCCCAAGUUACUAGCAAAUUCAUUGAAGUGCUCAUCCUUUGUGUGCUACCAUCUGACAGUAUGUAAUAAUGUUAGAUCUAGAUGCCCAUGAAAGCCAAGGGUACCUACAUAUGCUUUUCACAUAGAGUUCAGUAGUUGCUGUCUGGGUCUUAUACCAAUAAUCUCUGCGCCAACAAAUCCUUGGAUUGGUGUGGUAGAUGUUACCAGUACUUGCCAUUUACCUAGUUGCAUGUCUAACUUGCCAGAAGUUUAAAUCUUGAAAAAAAAGAGAGAAAAGAUCCAUGAGUUGGAUGUGAUAUUAGUAGGAGUGAAAAAGCAAUAUUGAGUUUAAAAUGGCACGUAGUAAAGAAGACAUUUUUUUUAUUAAUUAAAACUAUGAUAAAAAUAACUGUGAAAGAUCAGCAUUGUCUCAUCUAUUUGGGUUUGGUUUUAUUUUCUGUUCUUGUUAAUGAAUCUGUUAAGGGCUACAUUAAUUGUGAUUGCAAAUUCACAAAAUCUUUUCUCAUGAUUGGUUGCUUAGAUUUUCUGCAAAGUUAUUCACUGUGCAAUAUUCCCAUCAUUUUUUUUCUUUUCAUGGGCUAUAAGGUUGACGAUUCCUUCUCAAAUGUGUCAAGCAAUGCAAAAACCCUUGUGGUGCUGCAUUUCUGCAAUCUUAGCAACUAAAAAAUGGCAAUAUGAAGUCAUGGAAGAAAGAUAAGGGAAAAGUAGGGAUCGACCUGGAAUUUAUAAGAACGGGACUUCAUUGGAGGCUCUUGAGAAACUUAAACUAAUUAUUCAUGAUUCAGUUAUAUUCGUGGGGAUUGCUUUCUGCCUUUCCCUUGUAUGUUCUGGCUACUGUCCAAGAUGCCCAACUCUUCACGUUCUUUAUGUUUCCUGUUUUCUUAUGUCAUGUCUUGUUAUAAUCUAAAUCCAGAACGCUUCAGAAGCUCUCUUCCUCAGAAGUGCUUUCAAAAAUGUCAUCUUUGGUGGAGAUAAGAACCUGGAAGCAGGAACAUAUUCUGGGUUUCUUCAGACAAACUGGGAACGGAAAGGUACAUCUCCUCAAGGUUUAAAAAAAUGUUUUUGGUUUUAUUUUGACCAUUUUGCUUCCAAAGUUUCUUACUUUCAAUUCUUCAAUUGCGAACAGAUUCCAUUGUUGUCCAAUUUGUGAUUAGCUGCCCAUAUUUAGAAGUUGGAUCAUCUGUAAGCCCAAUUCUUAUGUUUUUGUACUUGUUUUCUUCAUGCUCAUUACCUUAAACAGAGACAUGCUUUAAUAUCCCUAGUGCUCAUAUUUGUGCCUCUCUCUCCCCCUCUCUCCCUCCCUCCCCACUCCCCUUCCUUUUCUCUCUCUCUCUCUAAUGCAUUCACAUGCUACUUAGAUAUCUAAAGAAUGGCAACUUUUCAGGUUUGUGUUACUGGUAGCGUGCUGCAAUUAGGACAGUGGAAGGUUCAAGGUGCACUGGAACUUAUCUAUGCAGGAGGAUCUACAUGGAUAGCAGAUUGUUUAAUGCGAAAAGAUGACUUCCCGAUAAAAUAUCCUUUUCACUUUCUCUCUCUUGAGAGAUCUUAGGAUUUGAUUUUUUUAAAAUAUGCAUUGGUGAUGGUUUAUAACAUCAUUCUUUUUUAAAAAAAUCUAUAUUUUUAUAAUUCAACCUUCUAUAUCUAUGUCCUUAGCAGUACUUCCACGUACAAGUAUUGCCGAGUUAGCAAAGUGCAAGGUGCUUCUUUGGAAGUUGGCCCUAACAGGGAGCUCGCUGUUGACUUGGCCUCAGAAUCUCCACCAAAUUAUAUUAUAUUAUCUGAUGGUACCUUCCGGGUAAUGUAUAGAGUUGGAGUUAAGCUGUCCUGGAAACAUCUCGUUUACAUUCUUGGAAUAUAAAUCUAAUUAUUUGAUAAGCAAGUAACAAAAAGAUUCUUAUUAGUUAACUUUUUUCCCCAGGAAACGCCAUGGAGGGGUGCUGGUGUUGCCAUACCAAUGUUCUCCGUUAGGUCCAAUGAUGACCUUGGAGUUGGAGAGUUUCUCGAUCUAAAAUUACUUGUUGAUUUGGCUGUGGAUUCAGGCUUUCAUCUUGUUCAACUCUUGCCAGUAAAUGAUACUUCAGUCCAUGGGAUGUGGUGGGACUCAUAUCCCUACAGGUAAUUGAGAUAUCCUUCUAUGAAGCUAGAAAACAUGCAUAAAUAUGUGUUCCGUUCUUAAAAACUUCUAUUCUGGAAACUUCAAGCUUAUAGAGGUUUAAACCGGCAAAACUCAUUUUAAUCAAUGCCUGGUUAUUGAAAUAGUGAUCUGAAACUUCUUACAUUAACAGCUCUCUCUCUGUAUUUGCAUUGCAUCCCUUGUAUCUGAGAGUACAAGCACUUUCAGAAAACAUUCCAGAAGAGAUAAAGGUGGCCUCUUUAACCCUUUUUAUUAAAUAAACAUGUUGAGUUCAUGUCAAUAUGCGUGCUUCUUAUCCAGCAUCUUCAAGUUGUUAAAUUCAGUUGGUAACAUUUACUUGAGGUCUUUGACAUUUGGCUUCCAUAUCCUCUGUGUAAUUGCAGCAAGAGAUCUCAAGGGAAAAAGAGAAGCUGAAUCAAAAGGUAUUUCUUUUUCUAGGUCAACAUUUUUCAUAUGGAAAGAACAAAACAUUCAUGGUUUUUUAUAUAAAAUCCUUCUUUUCGUCAUUACUCUGAAGUAGCCAAAAUGCAUGACAUGCACCAAAACUAUAAUGAUUGGCUUUUGGUUUGCACAAGAUGGACUUGACUGCUCAAUGGAUUGGUUGUCAACACUAUUAACUUUCCAUAGAUCUCUUUGGUUUGCCUAUUAUAGACGUGAUUAGCCUUAAAUUUGUAAAAAGACACCCUGCUUGGUUUUUGAGGUAGAGAAUACCCAUGACUAUUAACCCCCAAGGCAUCAAUUGCUGAAAAGUCACAGUAACUUAACCUACAAACUUACCUAUCACAAUUUAUGGAACAAAGAACAAUCUUUCAAACUUUACAAGCUUCCUAAACCUGUCUCUACUCGAUGUCGACCCCCUAUAAAGUGAUGCUGAAUUCAUGACCAGUGUGGAUUUUUGCAGGAGAUAGGUCUUCCAUGAAUCCUCGAACACAAGUUCGAUGAAAGAGAAGCCUUCCUUAUCGAUGCAGUUUAAUAUGAGCUACAGGGUUUGACGAUUCAAGAUUUCCCUUGACUUGGCUGACAGGACAUAGUUUGAAAGGAGAAGAGCUGAGACUUUUUAAUUAUUUAUUUGGUUUUUCUCCCUAUAACUGAAUGAACGCCAUGGAGGCAGAAUGCAUGUAGAUCAUUUUUUAGGUCAAAAACUAGGUUAUGCCUCUUAAAUUCUCAGGUAACUAAAUGUAUAAAAUUACUAAGUUUUGUGAUCCAAAAUGAGGCCAUAUAAAGGCCUCAAUAUUCCAAUAUUUGCAUUGUAUAAUUGAUGAAUGAAGAGAUGCUCAAAUGAAACUCUGACAAGAGCAUGCAUUGAAGCCAUGGAUAUGUUGAAUUAAGGGCAAACAAUCCUAAUUGAGCAUCUCUGUUGAUUGAGAUGGUUUGGUUGAAGGGUGAGAGGAUAGUUCAUUGUCAACCUAUUCAGCUAGUGAAGGUUAAGACGGAGAAAAGAAGGAAGUAUCACGCACAUUUCAUCAUUGGAGACCAUUUUUGGUGUCCUUAAGACUAAUUGAACUAUAGCUCCUUUGACCCUUCCAGAAUGUGAAUGCUUUUCCAGUAGCAUUUGACAAUCAGGUCCUUGAUUACCAGUAACAGACCUGAGUGCUAGAACUUUGACAAUGGGGAUGUCAUGAUGAUUUAAUUCAAUAUGGGAUAUCUUCCAUAAUUUGGCAGGUCAGACAUGUUGCCCCACUAAUGCUUCUAUAGAGGCCCCAAAAUGAAUCCGUCUCUAAUACAAUCAAACUUCAAGAAUAACAAUGUUUCAUUGUGCCAAGUAGACGUAAUUACAAAGGACUAUCACCAUUCAAGUGAUGAGAACCAUGUAUAGGAUUGAUGCAAUCCAUAAAUGGCUUAUGUAAAGCACAACUUGUUACAUAUGUUGACAACAUGCUAUAGAAUUCUUAAAUGCUUACUGUUUUUGAUAUGAGAAUUUGGCUUGUUUUGUAAAGCAAAAUUUGCAUGACAUGAAUCUAAGGGUGGCAAUUUAUGACCCGACCCAUGAAUAAUCCUCUUUAAGCAGGUUCAGUUUUGACAUAAAUGGGUUUGGGUCGUAAACAGGUCAACUUGUCUAGACUUAUUUAUUAAAUGGAUUGGGUUCAGAUUUAGACUUUUGACCCAUUUAACCCAUUUUGGCCCAUGUAAUAAUUCAGUCGGAUCAUAACCCAACCCAUUUAACUCAUUUAAGACCUAUCCAAUCUGUUUAAAACAUGCUUAACCUGUUUCUGUCCUGUUUAACCUAACCCGCCUAGCCUGUUUAACCUGUUUAAAUUCAUUUAAUAUGUUAAAAACCUACUUAAUCCAUUUAACCUGUUUAACCUGACUUGACCUAUUUAAUAGAUAGAUUAUGUGGAUUGGGUUGGGUUACCUAUUUAAUAAAUAGGUCGAGUUCAUACCUGAAUUUUUAACCUAUUUGAUAAACAUGCCGGGUUCAGGUUGACGAAUUUUUGAUCUGACCCAACCCAUAUCCAACUCGACCCGACCCGAUUGCCACCCCUACAUGAAUCCUGAUUUCAGAUAUGUAUCUUGUUGAAACCAAUGUUAGAUAUUACACACUUGCAGCAUGAUGGUUGUUAGUCUUGCAGCAUGCCUUGAUACUCCUCUAUAUAUUGUUUUUUUGAUUGAAUCUCCCCCAUAUAUUGUUAGCAAUGUAUGUAUGUAUGGUCAUUCUUUUAUCUCUUGUUGCAUGCUUACCAUGGUGGUGACCACAUCCUACGUGUGUGUGUGUGUGUGUACACCUUGAGCUCUUGUUCCUCAUGGAAUUGAACAUAUUUUCCACAUAUUUGGCUCUUCUCAUUUCUCUUCAAAUCUAUCAUGGUAUCAUAGCCUUCAUGAUAAAGAAUCCUAGACAACAUUAGACCACUAUCAUCUUAUCAAAUUAAAUCAGUUGGUUGCUUAUGUGAUUUCAAAAUUGUUUGAUUGCAAUUUCUUGUAUUUAAAUUUUAUAUUCAGAUUCUCUAAUAUAAAGUGUGUAUUUAUCCAGAAUGUUGAUUAUGAGGCUACAAUGGCUGCUAAAUUAUCUAUUGCAAAAAAAGUAUUCAAUCUGGAAAAAGAUAAAAUUCUUGAUUCCAGCUCCUUCAAGAAAUUCUUCUCUGAGAAUGAGGUAUGGCUUAUACAUUUUGUGGCUUAUAUUUUCUCACAUAUUUACUAUCAUGAUAAAUUCACAAUGCAGUUUGUUUUGUAACAGAAUCUCAUCCUUCUAAUCAUAAAAUGUAAACAUUAUGAAUCUGUGAUUGUACACAGGAAUGGCUGAAACCCUAUGCAGCAUUUUGUUUUUUGAGGGACUUCUUUGAGACAUCAGAUCAUACCCAAUGGGGUCGAUUUUCUCAUAUUUCCAAAGAAAAGGUUUGCAAGCUGUUAAUUUUUCAUAAGAUGUUUUAAAGAGUUCUCUGGACAGUUUGUCGAGCAGGUGCCUGUGGAUUAUUUUGAUUUGAGUUUUUCUUCUAUGGUUUGAGUUUUUCUUCUCUGUGGUCAAUAGCUUAUCACCUAAUUUAGUGCAUCUGAUACAAUUUUUUUCCAAGUUUUUACAAGUUGGUUUCUUUUUUCAGCUUGAGAAACUUGUUUCAAAGGACAGUUUACACUAUGAUGUUAUAAGCUUUCAGUACUAUGUUCAGUUUCAUCUGCAUUUACAAGUAAGUAUGAUAUCCUAUCCUUUUGAGGCAAGCAUUAUGAGUGUCAGUUGUUAGUUUGCUUUCUUGCACCAAUGCUUCUGCUAGGGCCUUUUAUAACUCUUUCUAUUUAUUGAUUUUUCCAUUAUCAGUUAUCUGAAGCAGCAGCCUAUGCAAGGAAGAAGAAAGUAGUCUUGAAAGGAGAUUUACCAAUAGGUGUGGACAGGAAUAGUGUGGAUACUUGGGUAUAUCCUAAUUUAUUUCGUAUGAACACAUCUACUGGAGCACCUCCAGAUUAUUUUGACAAAAAUGGACAAAAUUGGGGUUUUCCCACAUACAAUUGGGAGGAAAUGUCAAAAGAUAACUAUGCAUGGUGGCGAGCACGAUUGUCACAGGUUAUCUAGAUUUAAUCCUUAUUUUAAACUGUUUGAUCAGUGCUGUUAUUUUUUUCCUUGUUGCAUUCUGCAUGUUCUUUUUUCCUCAAGCUAGCCUCCACUCUUGUGGUCUAACAGAUGGCAAAAUAUUUCACGGCCUAUAGAAUAGAUCAUAUCUUGGGUUUCUUUAGAAUAUGGGAGCUUCCUGAUCAUGCUGUUACUGGUUUAGUUGGAAAAUUCCGUCCAUCCAUUGCUUUGAGCCAGGUAGCAUCAUAUGGUCCUCGGUUAAGAAAAAUAAUGCAAAAUGUAUAAAAGCAGAAAAUUUUCAUCUUAUCUUACUUCAUCUUUAACGUUGCCUUCUUAGGAGGAGCUUGAGAGGGAAGGCAUUUGGGAUUUCAAUCGCUUGAGCCGUCCAUAUAUCCGGCAAGGAAUUUUACAGGUCCCCAUGUAAUUCUUUUCUGUGUAUUAUUGGCUUCUGAAUAACAUUGUACGUGCUCAAUCAUUAUUAUUUAAUAUUAAAUAAUUUUUUUCAGGAUAAAUUUGGAUCCUUUUGGACUGUUAUUGCUGCAAACUUUUUGAAUGAAUAUCAAAAGCUCUGCUAUGAGGUAUGUCACUGCUUGCUUCUUGGAUAAUACAUUUCAUAGAGAAGAAAUCUAUGUGUAUCAGUUUAACUGGAAUAGUUAUCCAUCUGACUGUAGAUACAAUGGAAACAAUGGAGGACUUUUUAGACUACUUUUCCUCAUCGAGUGUUUGCCUAGUUAAAACUGACAACCUGUUGUUGCAUGAGUUCUCAUAGAGAGAUUCAUGAAGAAGAACUGCUACUUUUUGAAUCCAAAUGAUAGGCUGAUUUGAACCAUGAAUGAUGAAAUGAUGCAUUUACUGGCACAAACAUGACCUAUCUCACAGAUACCUCAUCAAAAAAAUGUUUCUUCAGGUAGGUUGUUAAUGCUGUAUCAAUGCCAAUUGCUCAAAAAGCACCACCAGUCACCACAGGAAACAUCCAGAAAGGACCUUAGACUUUGUUUAGAUAUUUGGCCAUUUUAUUGGAUUGGUUAAUCUAUCUUGCUCAUGAACUUUCUGUUCAGCAUAACUAGCUUCUCUUUAGAUGCCAUCAAAACAAUUCUUUAUGGAUAUCUAUAGAAAGAUCUUUUUCAUUGGACAAGUAACCAGGCUUCUCACAGGCAGAUUCUGCUACUCAUGGUUGCAUAUUUGAACACACAUUAUAUGAAUUUAACAAACUUCAUGGAUAUGUUUUUAAGGAAUUAACAAUGGUCUUAAAUCAUGGCAUAAAACCAUAUAUUAAACAAACUGACUCGAUCACUCUCUUCAAGCACCAUGCCAGGAAGAGUCUUCACAUGCUCUUAGUUUAUGCAAGUGAUAUUAUUCUUAUUGAAAUCGAUGAAGUUGGAAGUAUGCUCAAAGUCAUGGAACAACACCUUGAUUUAAGGUUUGACAUGAAGAUCAUUAUUUCCCGGGUGCGAAGGUAAUACAUACAACUCUUUAAACGAAUCCACAUUGCAGGAAGCUGUCAUGUGCCCUAGGGAGGACUUAAAAAAACAUUUCCAAUGAAAUUUUAGUCAAAAUUAGAUCUAAAAAUUUUGAUAAGCCUUCUGACAGCUUUCGGUAUAUCACUUUUACUCAGAUCUCAGAUUGACAUUACUUUAUCUAUAUUAGCAGAUUCCUAGCCAUAGAUGUAGUACGAUAAGCCAAACCUGGUCCUCUGGAUUGCCACAUCAAUUUUUUGAUUCCUGGCCUAUUCAAAAUGGACUGAGCUAAAUAUACUAUAGUCAUUCCAAUCUUCAUUCGGGAUUGAGACAGAUGACUCAGCUACCAGAUGAGGCUGACAGGUAGCAAAGCUAGGUGGCUGGUAAAUCGACAAGCAGCAAUGCACACUGGCAUAGUGUGGUAAUGCAGUGCUACAAGCAUAUGAUAUUGGAGAAAUGCUGGAAGGAAAUUUUAAGAACAAAUGAACCAUCCAUGAAUACUAAGCAUAGCGACCAAGGUAUCCGAGUCUCAAAGAUAUCAACUCUUUAAUUUUGUGGAUGUUCAGGUAGCAAAGACAAUGGUUCGGUAACUGAAGUAGAUAGCUAAUUAUGUAAUAAGUGUGAAGGAUAAGCGAACCCAAAAAUGCAGCAUGAAGCAGUAACAGACUCCAUGAUGGAGAUGGGAGCUAAGCUAUUGUGCUUGCAAAAGCCUGAGUUCUAAGUUAGAAGAUUUUAUAAAAUGACAAUAUAGAAGUGGUACGAGAACAUGUUAAAAGGAAGAUACCGUGAAGCAGGGAAAUUGGAAAGGUCAAGGGCAUGAAAAGGCCAACAGCAUCUCUGAAUGAAGCAAUGACCAUGAUUCAGUUUGUGUUAUAGUUCGAAAAUAUAAUCCUGAGGUAAUCGAAUACCCAAAUGCCUCAUUAGGAAUGAAGUAAACAAGGUGCUUUUAGUAACUGAUGGAAGAAUUCAGUGAUAAUGGAAGCACUUAAGAGUUUUAGAUAAUUAAAGAAGCCCAUGAAAACCACGAAUAGAACACGUCUACAAUCUACUAGAUGAAUUGAGUCUUUCAAACAAAUAAGAAGGAUAUACUGAAGAGUAAAAGCUCAAAAAACUGUUAAUUUGGAUUGUUAAAGCUCCAAGGUUUACUAGAAGGUCAUGGAUCUUGUUAGAUAAAUAUUGGUUUCUUGAUCGUGUAAAAUGGAAAAUAAAAAUUGCUAUGAACUAAUGGCCUGCUACUCCAGAAUAUAUGUCAUAACUUAGCAAGGUAGUAUUCCAACGUGUGGUUUACAUAGAUAAAAUCUGAGGAAAAUACAAAAAUCCCAAGAAAAGAUGACUAAGAUGAAAAAAGAUAGAUUACAUAGGGAACGAACAGGUUUUGUUAGAGUUAAAAUUGGGUAGGUUUUCAUGGGAGUUAAAGGGAAAAAAUGGUUGAAUAAUCAAAAUAGGCUACAAAAUAGAAAGGGGAGAAAUGGUUAGGGUAGAAUUGGAGAUCAAUGGGGUUGAAAUGGUAGCUUAAAAGGUCACGGCAAUAAUUUUGACCAGACACAAAAUUGAAGCUGAAAAGUCCUAAAUUUCCUUGAUGUGAAGUGAGAAAGGGAUGAAAGCUCGAAGAUAUCAUCCUAAACAACCAUGAAUUAAAAAAUGAAUCAUAAUAUAAAACAAUCCGAUCAUAGGAUCUCGAUACCAAAAUUGACUAUGAAAAUUGGGGUGCCAAGUGACAUAUGCUUGCCACACUUAAACAGGCUAAGAUAGGAUUGGAGAGUCGAGACUGUUAAAAGAUAAAACAGAAGGUUUAUACUUUUGUUUUACUGAAUUUUACUAGUUUUUUGUUGGGUACAGGAGGAAAAAAUGAUCAUAUAGAAUGUCUAUAAUAGCAAACAUGCUAGACUAAAUGUUCUAUCAGAAGCUCUGCAAGUGGUCUGGAAGCUAUGGAUAGAGUCCGUUAACAGAAAGCAUAAUAGCUCCAAGAUGCCAACCCAGCAAAUUUAGACUUUGGCCAGGCUAAGUUUCCAUAUUCUGGCAGCUCUCACUGCAUGUCAUUGAUAGAGGCAUUAAUAACAGUGGAGGCAUCAUUUAUUUAUUGUUGUACUGAGACUGGCCUAAUCAUUGCUUAAGCAUGUUCAAUGUCUCUGAAGAUUUUUUAUUGUGCAUAUUGGGGUUUGGGUCUUUGAUGUCAUGACAAAUCAAGUAAAAUGUUGGAAUGGUACUUUAUCUCAUUAGGUCCUGAAACUGGUGCUUCCAUCGCAAAACUUACUCUCUUGGACAGCACCAUUCUAGGAUGUUGUAUGUACAAAGUCUAUACAAAAUCCAUCACUAACUCAUACAAAGAAUAAAAGAAUGCAUGAGUGAAUGGAUUAUAUACUUACUAUAGAGGUGUGAAUAUGGUAGCCUUGUAUUCUGUUUAUAACAGGACAACAUACUCUUUGUUAGAACUUAGUUAUUUAAUAAAGACUCAUGAAAUUUCAGCUAAAAAGGUGCAAAAGAAAGCCUAAAACAUUGAUCAUAUUAUUGGUUUUGCCAAUUCUCUUUUCACAACAGUGUUUUUCAUGAUCAUUCAUAUCUAUUGUGCUUUAGUAAUUGUUAGCCAUUUGGGACUUAUCACCUUCCUAAAUUUGUGCUGUAAUGUUGGUAUACAUCAAUGCUAUUUGUAGAUACUUUUGAGUGUACUGGUUUUUGGCUAUUGUUGUCUAAUGCAUCCUGCCCAUUUCUAAGCCUUAUGCAAGUGCAUAUUAGUCUUUCUAAGUUUUGAGAGUUAAUAAGCAUGGCCCGCUUUUAUAAUAUGAUUUGCAUUCAAUAUGUUUUGACAUAUAUGUCUCCACAUGCAGCAUAACAUAGUCUGCACAUGUAGUAUAGUCUGCAUAUUUGCAUACUGGCUUGAGCCCAGAAGUUGCACCCCUCCUCCAAAUGGAGGGGGUUCUUUUUACCAAUCUUGGCGCUGUUUUAUCGAGAAUGACAUGUAGGUUGUGGCUCUUACUGCGUUUUCUGGAUAAAAUUUAUGGUCUGUGUGCACAUUUGAAUAAUCUAAAAUGUGAUCCUGCAUGUUUUUAUUUCCCAGAGAAUCCUCUGUCGAAAAACCAGAUAUUAUUUUCUUAAUCCCAGUUGUUUGGUUCUGCUAUGUUUACAUUCUUAUGUAUCACGUGAUCUGUUCUUGUUUUACCUGAUUAGGUCAAAACAUCAUAUUACUAGCAUUUUUUGUUUUCUUCUUUGGUUUUUUUUGUUUAGUUCAAGGAAGACUGCAAUACAGAGAAGAAAAUUAUUGCCAAGCUUAAAUACAGUCCUGAGAAGUCAUUGUGGUUGGAUAAAGAAGACAAGAUACAGAAAGACCUUUUUGAUCUUCUACAGGUAGAUCAUCUUGACAUGGGAGGCAGCCAAAUGAGUCUGCAUGCUGUAAAUAGUUUCUGUUUUGCUAUCGGGCUGUUAGUCUCAGAUAAUAGUUAACUUCUUGAGACAGCAUUUUCUGGACACAUGUUAAUGAUUGCUCUUCAAUGUCUGUUGCUGCUGCAGAAUAUAGUUCUUAUUAGAGAUCCUGAUGACUCGAGAAAAUUUUAUCCUCGUUUCAAUCUUGAAGAUACGUCCAGUUUUAAAGAUUUAGAUGAACACAGGUACUUCUUCUAUGCUAUAUACAUGAACCUGUAAUGUUUUUUUUUUUUAAUGUAGUUUAGAACUAAUAUCUAUUUGUCCAAAAGCUCAAUGAAUAAGGUGUACCCCACUCCCCCACAACACACAGGGGAAGUUAUGUUUCAUUCUCUAAUUGAACUUUGAAAAUCCACCUUCAAUUUUUUUUUCUUGAUUUCUUAUUAGUCAUAAAAUUUGGCAUCAUACCUUCAAUUUGCUAUGUGGUAGCAUGUUCCUGAUUGACUAUUCCUUGUUACAGUAAAAAUGUUCUCAAAAGAUUGUACUAUGAUUACUAUUUCUGCCGGCAAGAAACUCUUUGGCGUCAAAAUGCACUGAAGACUCUGCCUGUCCUAUUGAACUCAUCAGAUAUGUUGGCUUGUGGAGAGGAUCUUGGCCUUAUUCCUUCCUGUGUUCAUCCAGUAUGUUCAAUUGCAAGUUUAACUGGGUUUAAACCUAUGAAGUACUUAAUUAAUGAAUAUGUACUCUUGAUGCGCUUAUCCAGGUCAUGCAGGAACUAGGGUUAAUAGGUUUACGUAUUCAGAGAAUGCCAAGUGAGCCAGACCUAGAAUUUGGUAUUCCAUCUCAGUAUAGCUACAUGACGGUACACUUCUUGACUUUGUAUAAUGGAUAAAUAUAGUUCAAUUUUCUUUCUGUUAGUUUAUUUUUUACUUGUGCAUUUAUUGUACAUGGUAGUUGCUUUUAAAUUAGAUUCAAUAAAGUUUAUAUAGUAUUGAAAGAAAACUUUCGUUGUCAGUGGUGAAGUCCUGUGAUAGAUUCUAGAUUCAAAACCUUUCUUUGCUGUAUCAUUUACAAUAUAAUCUAAUUUUGCAAACUAUUCUACCAAAACAUACCUUUCAAAUGACUUAUAGCUGUAAAUAUCCAUCUUUCAAAAGAAAAAAACACAUGUAGGUUUGGAUGGUUUGAACAAAAAAAUUGUGGAUUUGCUUGUGGUCUUUCAAGAGGUGCUGAUUGAAUUAAAGAUCCAACAGAUGAACUGGCACUUGGGGCGUGAAAUCUGAUUAUCUUUGUAAAUUAGUAAAAUACAGUAUCCUUCCUCUGGCCUUAAUAAUAUAUUAGUCGUAUUGAAAUGAUAUUAUAUUUAUUGAAUUUAAGCAUUUAGCUUCUCAAAUAAAAGAAUGCAAUUGAGAAUUGUUUGAUGGGCUGUAUCUAUGUUUACUUAUUUUUUUACUGAAGAGUUAAGUUGAUUGUCUUUAAAUUUAAUAAACACCAAGAUGGAUUGGGUUGCUAUGAAAAUUUAAUAGGUAUGUGCUCCAUCAUGCCAUGACUGCUCCACUUUGCGUGCUUGGUGGGAAGAAGAUGAAGAGAGAAGAUGCCGUUAUUACAAGACUGUGGUUGGAUGCAAUGAUGUGCCCCCUUCUUGUUGCACCCCAGAAGUAGCAUACUUCAUCAUUCAGCAGCACUUUCAAGCUCCAUCAAUGUGGGCAAUCUUCCCACUUCAGGUACCGAAACCUAAAAUAUCCUCUGUACUCAGACCACAAUAGAAAUUUUGUACUCAUUUGAGUGCUAUGAUUAGGACUUGCUGGCAAUGAAAGAGGAAUACACAACUAGACCAGCAGUAGAGGAAACAAUCAACGACCCCACAAACCCAAAGC